UUUUACCCUUCUGGAGGAGGACAGGAAUCUUCGGGAACUAAUUCAGGAAGGGACUCUGCAUCUUCAGAGCUGCUUCUCUUCCUCUUGCCUGUUCUGACUUCAGGAUCUGGACCUACCUCAAUUGCCUUUGCUGCUUGUUCUUUUGUUUCAAAUUCCACAAACGCAAAUCCCUUUGGAUCUCCAGUAGACUUAUAAUGUGGUAUACUUAUAUAAACAACAUUGCCACAUUUCCCAAAGACUCUUUCAAUCCAGCUGUGAUUAACAUUUUUGGGAAGUAACUCCUGUGAUAAAUUAAAAGCAAUAUUAAAUAGUUUUUCGCAAUGCUUAUAUUUUCAGAGUGUCAAUAAAUUUUUAACUUAAUUACA